rnacentral:rRNA from 1 species
CAAGACUGCGAAGUGGAGCAAAUCUCAAAAAGACCGUCCCAGUUCGGAUUGCAGGCUGCAACCCGCCUGCAUGAAGUUGGAAUCGCUAGUAAUCGCGGAUCAGCAUGCCGCGGUGAAUACGUUCCCGGGCCUUGUACACACCGCCCGUCACACCAUGAGAGUCGGGAACACCCGAAGUCCGUAGUCUGACCGCAAGGGGACGCGGCCGAAGGUGGGUUCGAUAAUUGGGGUGAAGUCGUAACAAGGUACC